rnacentral:rRNA from 1 species
GAUGAACGCUGGCGGCGUGCCUAAUACAUGCAAGUCGAGCGAACGGACGAGAAGCUUGCUUUUCUGAUGUUAGCGGCGGACGGGUGAGUAACACGUGGAUAACCUACCUAUAAGACUGGGAUAACUUCGGGAAACCGGAGCUAAUACCGGAUAAUAUUUUGAACCGCAUGGUUCAAAAGUGAAAGACGGUCCUGCUGUCACUUAUAGAUGGAUCCGCGCUGCAUUAGCUAGUUGGUAAGGUAACGGCUUACCAAGGCAACGAUGCAUAGCCGACCUGAGAGGGUGAUCGGCCACACUGGAACUGAGACACGGUCCAGACUCCUACGGGAGGCAGCAGUAGGGAAUCUUCCGCAAUGGGCGAAAGCCUGACGGAGCAACGCCGCGUGAGUGAUGAAGGUCUUCGGAUCGUAAAACUCUGUUAUUAGGGAAGAACAUAUGUGUAAGUAACUGUGCACAUCUUGACGGUACCUAAGCAGAAAGCCACGGCUAACUACGU